ACACUGGGUUAAUAUUGAGAGAUAAUAAUAAUUCAUCAGUAUAGCCACAGACUACAAGAUCCUCAUUGAGGCCUACACCAGUAUUGUCAGCAUGGGCUGCAGUGAAUCAGCUAGCAUCAUUACCUGUAGCUGAUGAAUUAUCACCUCCACCAUCCUAUGAGUCAGCACUCAAUAUAGCAACUGAGCCAUUUGAUAGACCACAGAGUGUCAUAAUACCUUCAAGGCUGAACGUUUCAUCAGAAGCUACUCCACCUCUUUCAGCAAGACCAACUGAUGGUAGUGAAUAUGCUCAGUUGGACUUCCCUUCCUCCCCUCUCCCUCCUCCUCCUCUUUAUAAUGAUGAGAAUUGUUGGUAUAAUCCUCGACCUGUUACUAUGGUUAAUAGCCCACCAGUUAUCAAUGGAGUACAAUAUUCAACAGUAUAUACAACUAAUAAUAUAAGAACUGGUUUUAAUAGAAUAACACUCAAUCAUUCACUUGUGUAAU